rnacentral:tRNA from 1 species
GCCUCUGUGGCGAAACCGGUAAACGCGAUAAAUUCAAAAUUUAUUCUCAUAGAGAUAAGGGUUCAAGUCCCUUCAGAGGCA